GCCCCUUUAGCUCAGUUGGUAGAGCGCGGCACUAGUAUCUGUUACAGCAGGUAAUGCCGAGGUCGAUAGUUCAACUCUGUCAGGGGGCA
rnacentral:tRNA from 1 species